rnacentral:rRNA from 1 species
AUUGAACGCUGGCGGCAGGCUUAACACAUGCAAGUCGAGCGGAGAUGAGGUGCUUGCACCUUAUCUUAGCGGCGGACGGGUGAGUAAUGCUUAGGAAUCUGCCUAUUAGUGGGGGACAACGUUUCGAAAGGAACGCUAAUACGGCAUACGUCCUACGGGAGAAAGUGGGGGAUCUUCGGACCUCACGCUAUCAGAUGAGCCUAGGUACGAUUAGCUAGUUGGUGAGGUAAAGGCUCACCAAGGCGACGAUCGUUAACUGGUCUGAGAGGAUGAUCAGUCACACUGGAACUGAGACACGGUCCAGACUCCUACGGGAGGCAGCAGUGGGGAAUAUUGGACAAUGGGCGAAAGCCUGAUCCAGCCAUGCCGCGUGUGUGAAGAAGGUCUUCGGAUUGUAAAGCACUUUAAGUUGGGAGGAAGGGCAGUAAGUUAAUACCUUGCUGUUUUGACGUUACCGACAGAAUAAGCACCGGCUAACUUCGUGCCAGCAGCCGCCGUAAGAC